rnacentral:rRNA from 1 species
AGCAUGCCACGGUGAAUACGUUCCCGGGCCUUGUACACACCGCCCGUCACACCAUGAGAGUCGGGAACACCCGAAGUCCGUAGCCUAACCGCAAGGGGGCGCGGCCGAAGGUGGGUUCGAUAAUUGGGGUGAAGUCGUAACAAGGUACC